UCUAGUGCUGCGUCUCUCCAUGGAGGCUUCUGGUGUUGCCAGCAGUCACCAUGUGGUCCACAGCGUUGAACCCCUCCUCACAGUUUGCUUGGAGUUGGGAAACUUAACCUGCACCGUGCCUUUAGCUGCAGCUAGCAAGCUGUCUCUUCCCUGGCUCCAAGGUUCUUAGUGUCCUGCACAAAAUAUUGGACAAACCACGUGGAAGAGGUUGUGAGGAUUUACUUUUAUUGAAGGUGGAAAAGAAAUACGCUUUGAAGAACAAGUAGGGGGGCUUGGGGUACAGACUGUCAGUGCCCACAAGGAAUAGCGUCGGGACUCUUUGCUAUAUGGAGUCCUAGGUUGCUUCUUUCCCAUGUGCACGAGGCAUUUGUAAGGGCUCUCCUGUCAGAAACUCCACUGGCCUGAUGUCAGAUUUAAGCUGUCUGGUCAAGGACCCACCAGAAGUAAAUAAAAAAUCGACAGUGGCCACCACAUACAAGGUUUGGAGCUGCGCGGUCAUCUGGGACUCUGUUUUGCGUUUUUUCUCUGGGUCUCUACGACUGACAGGCUCUGUGGAGCUGUUCAAGUGAUUUCCCUCAGCCCUAAUCUACCUCACUCCAACCCAGGACUCUGCAGCCUCUUUGAAGAAUCAGAGGAGAAACAAUCUUCAAGGUGCAAACAUCAGCAAGGAAUCUGAACCUGUUAUCCCCGAACCCUGGUGAGCUGGGAUUAACUCAGCUAGUGCUUCUGGAAACUCUCCAGUUUUAGUCCCACUAUUUUUGUAAGGACACUACAGCUGUCAGUCAGGCAGCCGUGUCUCCGCUGUUCACAGAACUGCCGCCAUGACAGUAACCACUGACCUGGCUGCCCUUCCCCCACUCUGGGGGUGUCUUCCCUGACUGCAGUGGGCUUGAGUUUUAAAUAUGCAGUAGAUUACAUAUAAAAUGUACCAAUAAAAUU